rnacentral:rRNA from 1 species
UACGUAGGGUGCGAGCGUUGUCCGGAAUUAUUGGGCGUAAAGAGCUCGUAGGCGGUCUGUCGCGUCGGCUGUGAAAACCCGGAGCUCAACUCCGGGCCUGCAGUCGAUACGGGCAGACUGGAGUUCGGCAGGGGAGACUGGAAUUCCUGGUGUAGCGGUGAAAUGCGCAGAUAUCAGGAGGAACACCGAUGGCGAAGGCAGGUCUCUGGGCCACUACUGACGCUGAGAAGCGAAAGCAUGGGGAGCGAACAGG